rnacentral:ncRNA from 1 species
AGCUUGACUCUAAGUCUGGCAUGGUGGAGAGACAUGAGAAAUGUAGAAUAAGCUGGAGAUUCCAGGAGUUGGGGAUGAUCUUCAAGGGGCUUUGGCUUUUGGUGCUGCUGUGGGGAGAGUGCCAAGUAGGAUGUUUGACUGGGGCAGUACACCUGUCAAACAGUAAUGCAGGUGUGUUAAGGUGAACUCAAGGAGGACAGAAGCCUCCUGUGGAGCAGAAGGGGAAAAGCCCACUUGUACAAAUACAGAGCAUGAAAGUAGGACCUUAUAGGAAAAAAAUACUGAUAAUCCAUUUUCAAAUAUGUAGAGCAUAUGCAUUAGGAUUUCUUUUUACUUUUAAAAAAAUU